AAGGUUUCCGUAGGUGAACCUGCGGAAGGAUCAUUGUCGAUGCCUUACAUGCAGUCCAACACGUGAAUCAGUUUGAACACAUACGGUGGGCUAGAGGCGUUCCACGCCUCGGCUUACCUCUGGUUCGGAGGCGGACAACRUWGUGCGUUCUCCUCCGUGCCAAAACUCGAACCCCGGCGCUGAAUGCGUCAAGGAAUUUAAACUUUGCUCCGAGCRCACCCCGCUUGGCACCGGAGACGGUUUUCGUGCGGGUUGUGCUUUGACACAUUAUAUAGAAUGACUCUCGGCAACGGAUAUCUAGGCUCUUGCAUCGAUGAAGAACGUAGCGAAAUGCGAUACUUGGUGUGAAUUGCAGAAUCCCGUGAACCAUCGAGUUUUUGAACGCAAGUUGCGCCCGAUGCCAUUAGGUUGAGGGCACGUCUGCCUGGGUGUCACAUACCGAAGCCUCCUGCCAAUUACCUUUUGACRGGUACUGUGCAGGGUGGAUGUUGGCCUCCCGUGAGCUCUUUCGYCUCAUGGUUGGUUGAAAAUUGAGACCUUGGUAGGGUGUGCCAUGAUAGAUGGUGGUUGUGCGACUCACGAGACCAAUCAUGCGCUGCUCUAUUGAAUUYGGCCUCUUUUACCCAUAUGCGUUUCAAAACGCUCGUGAUGAGACCUCAGGUCAGGCGGGGCUACCCGCUGAAUUUAAGCAUAUCAAUAAGCGGAGGAAAAGAAACUAACAAGGAUUCC
rnacentral:rRNA from 1 species